rnacentral:rRNA from 1 species
UACGAAGGGGGCUAGCGUUGCUCGGAAUCACUGGGCGUAAAGGGUGCGUAGGCGGGUCUUUAAGUCAGGGGUGAAAUCCUGGAGCUCAACUCCAGAACUGCCUUUGAUACUGAGGAUCUUGAGUUCGGGAGAGGUGAGUGGAACUGCGAGUGUAGAGGUGAAAUUCGUAGAUAUUCGCAAGAACGCCAGUGGUGAAGACGGGUAACUGGGCCGGUUCUGACACUGAGGCACGAAAGCGUGGGGAGCGAACGGG